rnacentral:rRNA from 1 species
CACUCCUACGGGAGGCAGCAGUGGGGAAUUUUGGACAAUGGGCGAAAGCCUGAUCCAGCAAUGCCGCGUGAGUGAAGAAGGCCUUCGGGUUGUAAAGCUCUUUUGUCAGGGAAGAAACGGUGAGAGCUAAUAUCUUUUGCUAAUGACGGUACCUGAAGAAUAAGCACCGGCUAACUACGUGCCAGCAGCCGCGGUAAUACGUAGGGUGCAAGCGUUAAUCGGAAUUACUGGGCGUAAAGCGUGCGCAGGCGGUUUUGUAAGUCUGAUGUGAAAUCCCCGGGCUCAACCUGGGAAUUGCAUUGGAGACUGCAAGGCUAGAAUCUGGCAGAGGGGGGUAGAAUUCCACGUGUAGCAGUGAAAUGCGUAGAUAUGUGGAGGAACACCGAUGGCGAAGGCAGCCCCCUGGGUCAAGAUUGACGCUCAUGCACGAAAGCGUGGGGAGCAAACAGGAUUAGAAACCCUAGUAGUCCCAUGAU